rnacentral:rRNA from 1 species
AGUGAACGCUGGCGGUAGGCCUAACACAUGCAAGUCGAACGGCAGCACAGUAAGAGCUUGCUCUUACGGGUGGCGAGUGGCGGACGGGUGAGGAAUACAUCGGAAUCUACUUUUUCGUGGGGGAUAACGUAGGGAAACUUACGCUAAUACCUCAUACGACCUACGGGUGAAAGCAGGGGAUCUUCGGACCUUGCGCGAUUGAAUUAGCCGAUGUCGGAUUAGCUAGUUGGCGGGGUAAAGGCCCACCAAGGCGACGAUCCGUAGCUGGUCUGAGAGGAUGAUCAGCCACACUGGAACUGAGACACGGUCCAGACUCCUACGGGAGGCAGCAGUGGGGAAUAUUGGACAAUGGGCGAAAGCCUGAUCCAGCCAUACCGCGUGGGUGAAGAAGGCCUUCGGGUUGUAAAGCCCUUUUGUUGGGAAAGAAAAGAAGCAGGUUAAAACCCCGAUGUUCUGACGGUACCCAAAGAAUAAGCAACGGCUAACUUCGUG